rnacentral:miRNA from 1 species
AAGAGAGCAGUCUAUUGACAGU